UACAGAGGGGGCAAGCGUUAUUCGGAAUUAUUGGGCGUAAAGGGCGCGUAGGCGGCUUGGCAAGUGGAAGGUGAAAUCCCUCGGCUUAACCGAGGAACUGCCCUCCAAACUGCUUCGCUUGAGACCGGGAGAGGUGAGUGGAAUUCCCAGUGUAGCGGUGAAAUGCGUAGAUAUUGGGAGGAACACCAGUGGCGAAGGCGACUACCUGGCCUGUUCUUGACGCUGAGGCGCGAAAGCUAGGGGAGCAAACGGG
rnacentral:rRNA from 1 species